UCCAUCAUUAUGAUGUUAAGAUGCCUUGUCAUCUUAUUCUUUCUAAGCUUGCAGAUAAAUGUCCAUCUGCUGUAUUAGCAGUGUUGGACUCAUUGGUGGAUCCUCUCCAAAAGACUAUCAAUUUUAAGCCAAAGCAAGAUGCUGUCAAGCAGAAGUAAUCGUAAUGAAGACAUGAUUCGCAGUGCCCUUCGAGCAAUUGCAUCCUUGAAUCGAAUAAUUGGAGGAGAUUGCAGCCUUAAAUUCAAGAGCCUUAUGAGUGAAAUCUCGAAAUCUCCAAUGCUAUGGGAGAAAUAUUACUCCAUCCGGAAUGAGUGAGGCACGCUUGCCCAUGCUAUCAAGUCUGUUAUAUCAAAAUCUUCCUGCAAGGAUUUAGAAACACAAGAUAUUACCUGAUUUGGGGCUUGCAAAGAGUAGUAGCUCUGAGGUGAAAAAAA